CCUGUCCUGUUACUCUGCCUAUGUCUUCUCCCUGAGAAAACAAGUUCAGCCCAAACUUUCGCGUAAAGCUCAGAUGGAAUUCCUAAAAAACUGAGAAGAAACUGGAGGUCCAGCUUGCAUAGCAAUGUAGCCAGACCUCAGCAUCAUCACAUUAUGGAUUGCAUUCUUACCCAAAUACUCUUCGUGAUUGCCUGCUUUGCGGCUUUGGGGUAAGUCCCAGUUUUCCACAACCUUAAGGAAAAAAAAAUGCAUAACAUAAAAGAUGCCAAAAAGACUUAUGUGUCCUGAUGUGCGGGUUUUGUGAAAUAUACAUGGGUUUGUUUUUUUUUUGGGGGGGGGGGUGGCGGGGAACGAUGUUGGUAAUGAAAUAAAGAGAAGGGGUUUGUUUCUGCAAGGAUCAAGAGUGUGUGAAAGUGUGCAUUGCAAACGAGGCUCCCAUCAAGAAAGCCACCUCUGGAAUGGAAAUGACAAAGCUUGGAACACACACAAUCAAUUAUUUUCACUAGCAUUUAAAAUAUAGAAAACAAAAUCUGCUUUGGGAAUUGACUGAAUAUUUUAUUUAGCUUUUUUAUUGAGACAUCCUUUGAAAAAUGGCAUAAUAUAAAUAGUUUUACAAAGCAACAAUAUAAUCAAUCUCUAAACUAGAAUAUAAAUCAAGGAUUUCAUUAACUGCUAGUAGCCAGUUUAAAUUGUAGUCUUGUCCAUAAUGUCUAUCUAUCUAUGUAUGUCCAAGUUAUAUUAAAAACCUUUAAAUGGCUUUGUAAUAUCAGCUACAUCUAGCUAUUAUAAUAAUUAAUGGUACUGUUUUAUAAAUCAAUACAUGUAUUCUUGAUAAAUUCAUAUCCAGUUAAUGGUGUAAUUUAAAUAAAAAAUUAAUGUAAUAAAGGACAUACAGAAACAGGCAGGAAAUCUUUAAAGGUUAAGAGACAAAUUUGUCUAAAUUCAUUUUUAAGCCGUUUUGAAAAAGUUUAUACUUAAAAUCAGCUGAGAUUUACCUUGUUUCUGUAAAACUAAUUUUGCUGUGUCUGUUGGUAUCCAGUAAUGAAUCUGUGCAUUAUUUUCUUUUUUAACUGUUAAGUUUUAAUUACAUACUUGUGAUACUAUGAGAUAUGUUACUACCGUUAUACUCUUUUGCAAUUAUUGAAUAUUCUUUAAAAAAAUAGAACAAAACUAAAAAUCUCAAACCAGUAAUUUAUUUUUAAUACAUGAAUGAAAUGUAAAUGCUCUCUCUCUAUUUUUUAUAUCUAUAAGCGAACGGUUCUGAGAAUCUCCAAAGCUAUAUACAAAUUUUAUUUAAGGUGAAAAAGGACUGAUUAGUUCAAUAAAUUUGCAUGCGCAAAAGCGCAGCGUUUUUACUGCUUUCACUGAAUGAACAUCCUAGGAAUUUUAGAAAGAAAAGAAAAAUGCUUUGAAGAGUCUGAAAUGUAUUUUAACGCUGCACACGGGUGGAGAAACAUGUUACAAAGAGAAGAGUGUAUUAUUGUUCUGAUUUAAAAAAUACAUAGCAAAGGCAUCUUAAGGAAUAACAGGAUCUAGAAAAACAACUGGAUGUUGUAUGUUAUCAAAUACAAUCUUAAAUCUUUCCAAAUAAAAUUUCAUUUGGUUUAUAGAGUAAGCAUUUUACACAAGAUCUCUUUCAGAAUUAUGCAGACCAGUCUGCCCUGCCAUUCUCCGUGACAUGGUGCAGAAAUGUUACUUUAAUCCACUGAGCUUUUUCUGACAUUUUUCUUAACAUUGCUGAGCCUUAUUUAGAGCAGCAAAGGAGACGUGUGCAGUUUCCUUUGACACUGAUGGGUGUUUCAAAAUGUUACGAGAGAGAGAGAGAGAGAGAGAGACAGAGACAGAGACAGAGAGAGAGCGAGAGAGAGAAAAGAUUUGCUGCCAGUCACUGUAUCAAUAGAGCUACAGGAGCAAUUACUAUUUGUUAAAAGCUUACAUUUCAAAUGAAGCUAAAUUUUAAAGAAGCCUGCUGCUUGGAAGAGGGGGGAAGAGAAUGCACAGUAGUGAUCACAUGUUAAAGUGCGCUCAAGUACUGGAACCAUUUAAAAUGUAUUGUGUUUUUAGACGAAGCCUACAGCAAAACCACUCCUAAGAGGCUUAAUUUAGGUUUUAUAGGAGGAACAUAAAAAAGACCAGGUUACAGCAACACGCUGAAAUAUGGGGUACAUUUUAAAUAUCUUCAUUUAAAAACGUAUGUUUAUUUUCCCUCCUGGGAUCACUAACAUGUGUCUCGACAGAGAAAGCAAGGACAUGCUACAUUCUUAAAAAUUAUCUGUUAAAGGGAUCACAUUCCAAGACAGGUUUGAGCAUUUUUAUUACUACCGAUAACCUCUUAAUUAUGUCACUGCCUUCCACUUGUUAAUCAGGGACAUUCAACAUGGUUAACCAGCGAGCGGUUGCCUUUUGUCGACUUCAUUAUUAUUAGGAAUUAAAAACUCAUUCUAUUCCCAUCAUCAUGUUUUUGCAUAUAUGAUUUUAGCACUGCUAAAAACUUACCUGCUUUAAAUACAGAACACCUAAGAAAAGGUCUAGAUGCCCAUGACAAUGUUGUUAAUUACUUCUAGGUGCAGCUCAUGGAAAGCUUUAAGAGAUGGAUAAUUUUACUUUUCCUGUCUUGCCCCCCUCCCCCAGCCCCGCUGCCUCCCCCACAUCUCCCACAAUUCCUAUUUGAACCAAUUUUAGGUUCCUUGUGCAGCCACCAGCGUCUGAGAUACUCAGAGACUUUUUUUUCAGAGAGCACGGUGUAAGUGGAGUAAAUAAAAUCAUGUUUCACUGUUGCUUUAUCAACCCUCCUAGGUAGUUUUCCUGCCAGCCAACCUGCACUGUUAAGACCCAGAAAAUUAUGCAAUAGUGACUUCUUUGAGGUUCUCUAAUCAGAUGAUGGCCAGUGUUAGGAGGGGAAGGGCCCAAGGCAAUGUUGCUGGCGCUUAAUGCUGGGCUUGGUCAUUACUUGUCUGGUAGAGACCAAUAAACAGAUGAUUACUAUCCUAUAAGGAGCCAAUAUUUUACAUUUACCUUAGUUAUAUCUUUUCUUUUCAACGUCUUAUAACAGAAAGUAUUUGUCAAGAUCUAUGAGGAAUAACCUCACAGGCCCCUUAAAAAUAAGAAUUUUCCUGGCGUGAAAUGAUGCUUUUUGUGCAAUGGUGAGAAUGAUUUUGGUUUUUAUAAGAGCAGAGGUUUGAUUACUUUAAAGUAGUUCUCUUUCAGAUGUGGACAGUCCCAGACCCCAUCCCCCACUCCCAUGUCCCCCUCUCUCCUCUAUGACAGGUUCACAGGCUGCAACCAAGGGGUUUUAAAAUGCAAAUAUUUAUAUUGGAACUCUGGCAAUAACAGAGUCGUUUUGCUUCCUCUGUUAGCCUGUGAUAAUUGAUGCUUCAUACCUGGAACUACGUUUCAUUUAUCUCUUUACACAUGAAGAUAUUACAUAAAUAAAAGAUAAUUUAUGGAAAGGAAACAGCCAUUUGAAAUAAUAAUCCUAAAUUUGACUGUAUAAUCUUGAAAGGUUUUAAGAGUCAAAGAUGCAGAUUUCUACAGUUUUAAAGAAAACUUGAUCGCACCUGGGAAAUUUGUGCAUUUUUGCACACUUACUGAAUCUGAAUGCCUGCAUGGAUCAAAAACAAAAAAGAGGGAUAAAAGGAAGGCAGGAGAGAAAAGGUGUGGAUUUCACAUGUGCUUUAAACCAAUGCAUUCGCCCACACGUCCACAGACUUCUUGUUACAAUUUUAUUGACUUUUUCUUUAUAUCCAAAAAUAAUUUCUAAAUAGCUAAUGCAAAUUGCAAAAUAGUGAGUCUUCUGAAGGGCCUUUUCUUCCCGGGGAUCCUCAUCUUAGAAUGAACAGAGAUAUUCCCAGAACCGGACCCUGAUCUCACAACCUCAUACAAAGCCAGGCAAUUCUUGAGCCAAACAAACAAAGGGUGUGUAAGCGAUUUCAUUUAUUUUGAUAAUCCUCCUCUUGCACAGGAGCAUCUUGCUGUCUUUGUCAAAGUGAAUGACAACAAUUUGGCUAACUCUCUCUGAGCUGCGCUCAACAGUGACAGGCAAAUUAUCAGAGGCCCUGCACUUCUUAUUAUCAGAGGAGAAGCCAUCAGGGGGACGCAUGGAGGAUACCUCUCCCUUGUCACUAUUUGUCAGUGGGACAAGGGCCACUGCUAUGGGUAGCUGACAGGUAAUUUCAACAAUAACAAUUACUCCUAUUACUGGUGUCAUAAACAAUUCGCCCAAGGCAUGACAAUAGCAAAGCUUUAUAAUUCAAUGCCAUAUAAAUAAAUGCCAGCAGGUAACAAGUAAUUUAGCUCCAAUCAAGCUUUCACCCCGGCAUUAAUAUUGUUAUUGCAAGAAAAUAGAAAAUUGAAAAAACUCGAUAUGUUAAUGAAUUAAGAGAGGUUCAAGGGCUAGACAGAGGGGUUGAAAAAGGGAAACCAGAAUUAUUAUGGGAUCAUAUUUGGUGCCAUCCUGAGGGCCAAAGAGCAGCAUCAUUACUAUUAGAUAAGAAGGGGGACCAGAGAUGCUGUUGCCCUCCACUUCAGACCUGGGAAAAAUGUGACAUGGCCUUUCAAAACCCCCUUUCUCUGAUUUCUGAAGAAUGUAAGUAGAAAUAUGAGAACGUGCCUAUAAUGCAGCAUUUCACUGGUUUUUUUUUCUUCCCACCUGAAAUAUUUCAUAUGCAGCAGAGGCAUGAGUAUCAAAGGAACAUUUCCGCCUGUUUAAGAAAAUCGCAUCAGCACCUACUUCCUUUACAUUAAGUCUUGUAACAGAAACUGUUUUAACAAGCCUAUUUUUAUCUUUGGUGAAGGUAAUGCCGAAAACCCCUCUUUGCUCUCCAGCUGUCCACCUUUUGGAAGUAGACUAGAGGACACGGUCCAAUCUUCCUCCAUAAAACUUCCCGAUGAAACGAAUCUGCAAUUUCAGUAUUUGUCCAGCAAGACAAUGUGCCAUCAUGGUGACAGCAGUAAAAGAAUUUGAAAAUCUCUAAUUAGGAGAGCUGCGGAGCAAUUAACGCAUGUCAAAUUUUACUUCAUCAAGUGCCACUCUAAUUUUCCUCUAAAAAUUAAUGGAUUUUUUUUUUCUUUUGGUAUGUGUGUGUGUCCCCUUAAGGCAAUGUUGAUUCAAAUCUGCUCAAGAUGCAGUGUUGCACAGCUAAGCAUCUUCUUGAUUACAAUCCGCCACCCUUCUAACUGCGCUCAUUCUCACUGCCACGGAUACUUUGUCAACAGUCAAAUUACACCACGCUGAUAACAAUGCAUAAUGGUGUUCCUCCUCUGAGGCCCCUGGCAGGAGAUGGGGUUCAUAAAAAUGUGAUGUUUUCUUCUCAACUGUUUCUGAAGGAAGUUUGUAUGACCAGGUCAUAGUCAGGCGUUAAUUUUUUGAAAUUAAUUUGUUAAUUUCAAGAAAGGGAAGAUAAUGAUAGACUAUGAAAAUACCUCACUGAAAAAAAAUCAGAGGAAGAAUGAGGAAUUGAGAAUAUCUGUGGCCAAAGUUUUGCUUAAACACUUUGUUCGGAGACAUUUUCAAGAGCACUACUCUUGGUAAAAUACCAGAGUUUUUUGUUUUUUUUUUUUCUUUACUUAUGAGCUAUAAACAUUGGAAGCCUCUCUUGAACAGACAGUAUUUAGAUUGUGAGAGAAGUUUGUUUAACUGCCAUAUUUGCCAGAAUCUUCAAAACAUCACAGGACACAGAAGAUAAAUGACUCUUUUUUUUUUUUUUUUUUUUUUUUUGGGUCAGGACUGUAUCUUCCAGAUAAAUGUUGAUUCAUUUUAACUAUUUUUUUAUCCUACUUGCUUGUUGCCGAUUCGUGUGCUUGAGUCAUCAGCACAUAUGAGGAUUAUUUCUCACUGGAAAAUGAGAGAAAGAGCAACUAGAUGAUUUUACAUUCAGUGUAAAAUCAUUUAGAGAUCAGUCAGAUUUCAUAUUUCUAAAACAAUCAGAUCCAAAACAAAAAUGGGGAAAUUAAACAAAAUGCUAAAUGAAUCUCUUUGCAGAUUCUUUCAGGGAAUGGAGACCAUUCACAUGGAUUGACAUGCCAAUUUUCUCAUCGUGUAAGUAUAUUUUUGAUCGGUUUCUUUAAUCAGAUUUAUUUAGUAAAAAAAAGAAAAUCUAAAUUCAUGGUGUAUACGCUUCCUUUUUUUCUUUUAAUUCACAGGUUGAAUGUGGUCUUUUCAUUUACCUACAACUAACUCAAAAAUCUUACAUUUGAUAUUUUGAGGUUUGUAUUUCCAAAUAUUAAAAAACUCUUCCUUUCCUUAUGGCCCCUCCCAGCAUGUUCUGAAGUGGUCUCUUUCAGACAAAAGAAAAUGACAUUCCCCUUUCAACUAGCAAAUGUUGGAUUCCCUAAACCAACUGGGGGUAAACUGGAAGUUUUGCAAUUAGGUUCACACGAGCUGAAUAUGUUCAUUAUCUCCAAACAUUCUCCUUCGAACUUUACAAAUAUAACAAUACUGAGUUUAGAGUUUCCUGUGGCUUGUUUACAAAUAAAGGUAUCUUGAUAAAAACCAA